GUGGUAGCUCUAGUGGUUAAGAGGUUGGGCUACUGAUCCUGAUCGGAAGGUCGCGAGUUCAAACCCCAGCACCACCACG